rnacentral:rRNA from 1 species
AGGAAAGAAACUAACUAGGAUUCCCUUAGUAGCUGCGAGCGAACAGGGAAAAGCCCAGCACCGAAUCUUGUGGCCGGUAACGGCCACCGAGAAAUGUGGUGUUAGGGAGGGUCCGUUUAUCUCGAGGUAAUAUGGUGCGUCCAAGUCCUUCUUGAACGGGGCCACAGCCCAUAGAGGGUGCCAGGCCCGUAGCGACCGCCGUUUAUCACGAGAGGAUCUCUCCUCAGAGUCGGGUUGCUUGAGAGUGCAGCCCUAAGUGGGUGGUAAACUCCAUCUAAGGCUAAAUAUGACCACGAGACCGAUAGCGAACAAGUACCGUGAGGGAAAGUUGAAAAGCACUUUGAAGAGAGAGUUCAAGAGUACGUGAAACCGUUUAGGGGUAAACCUGAGAAACCCGAAAGGUCGAAAGGAGAAAUUCAUUCGCGUUUCGUCCGGUGGUGUAAGACUUUAGAGUGACGGAUCGUCUUCGGGCGAAACGCGCCUUUAGUUUGCCAACCGCCGUCGAACGCGUGCACUUUUCUCCUAGUAGGACGUCGCGAUCCGUUGGGUGCGGGUAUAAGGCUUCCGGUGGAGUCCUCGAGUACGAUUUACGUCGAAUUCGAGAACCCGGGGUGUCCCUACCUGCUGGCUCGACGGUAUAAAGAUGGCGCGGGGCCGCUACUCGUUAGCGUUCGGCCCGUGGCAAGCAAGCCGGGUGUGUCGGCCUUCGGACCUAGUGCCGGAUCUGACCCCCUGCUACUGUUGGCCACGGAGUUCUCGAACAGACUCCGUACACGCCGAUCAGCGACGCUUUAGCUUUGGGUACUUCAGAC